rnacentral:rRNA from 1 species
UGCGUAGGCGGCUUUGCAAGUCAGAUGUGAAAGUCCAUCGCUUAACGGUGGAUCUGCGCCGGGUACGGGCGGGCUGGAGUGCGGUAGGGGAGACUGGAAUUCCCGGUGUAACGGUGGAAUGUGUAGAUAUCGGGAAGAACACCAAUGGCGAAGGCAGGUCUCUGGGCCGUUACUGACGCUGAGGAGCGAAAGCGUGGGGAGCGAACA